UCAAGUAAUUAAGGGCGUAGGGUGGAUGCCUUGGCACCAGGAGGCGAUGAAGGACGUGGCCAGCUGCGAUAAGCCACGGUUAGCCGUAAGCAGGCGUUGACCCGUGGAUUUCCGAAUGGAUAAAUCCACUUGAGUGAACCUCAAGUACCGUAUACUGAAUUGAGUAGGUAUACGGGGCCAGACCCGGCGAACUGAAACAUCUAAGUAGCCGGAGGAAGAGAAAGAAAACUCGAUUUCCUCAGUAGCGGCGAGCGAACGGGAAAGAGCCCAAACCUGUAGGACGUGAUAGUCUGUCCACGUUGUUCUACAGGGGUUGAGGGUAUCACAUAGGUAACCGGACAGGGUUACCAAGGCGACGGCAAGGUUAGGCGAAGCAUACUGGAACGUAUCACCACAGCGGGUGAGAGUCCCUUAGCCGAAAACCUAGUAUCGGGCCUAAGUGAUUACCCGAGUACCACGGACACGAGAAACCCGGUGGGAAACCGGGAGGACCACCUCCCAAGGCUAAAUACUACCUGGUGACCGAUAGUGAACAAGUACCGUGAGGGAAAGGUGAAAAGUACCCCGGAAGGGGAGUGAAAUAGUAUCUGAAACCCUACGCCUACAAGCAGUGGAAGCCCGAGUUAAUAACCUAGUUGCUAACCGGGUGACCGCGUACUUUUUGUAGAACGGACCGGCGAGUUACUGUUUGUAGCAAGGUUAAGGGCCAAAGGUCCGAAGCCGCAGGGAAACCGAGUCUUAACCGGGCGACAUAGUUACAAGUAGUAGACCCGAAACCGAGUGACCUACCCAUGGCCAGGGUGAAGCUUGGGUAAAACCGAGUGGAGGCCCGCACCCACCGAUGUUGAAAAAUCGGGGGAUGAGCUGUGGGUAGAGGUGAAAUGCUAAUCGAACUCGGAGAUAUCUGGUUCUCCCCGAAAUAGCUUUAGGGCUAGCCUUAAGGUUUAACUAGUGGAGGUAGAGCACUGAUUGGGCUAGGGGCCUUACCCGGCUACCGAACCCAGUCAAACUCCGAAUGCCACUACGUACACCUUAGGAGUCAGACUAUGUGAGAUAAGUUUCAUAGUCGAGAGGGAAACAGCCCAGACCAUCAGCUAAGGUCCCCAAGUGCAGGCUAAGUGGUGAAGGAUGUGGGAUUGCCGAGACAACCAGGAUGUUGGCUUAGAAGCAGCCAUCAUUUAAAGAGUGCGUAACAGCUCACUGGUCAAGUGGUCCUGCGCCGAGAAUGUACGGGGCUAGAAGCCUGUCACCGAAGCUAUGGCUUUACUUUAUAAGUAAGGGGUAGGGGAGCAUUGUUAGUUGGCAGAAGCCGUACCAGUGAUGGACGGUGGACGACUAAGAAGCGAGAAUGCCGGUAUGAGUAACGAGAGAUGGGUGAGAACCCCAUCCGCCGAAAGCCCAAGGUUUCCUGAGGAAGGUUUGUCCGCUCAGGGUUAGUCGGGGCCUAAGCCGAGGCCGAAAGGCGUAGGCGAUGGACAACUGGUUGAGAUUCCAGUACCACCGAAAAGCGUUAUUAGAGAAGUGGUGACGCAGUAGGGCAUGCAAAGCCCGCAGUUGGUUUAGCGGGUCCAAAGGGUAAGGUAGCAGUCGUAGGCAAAUCCGCGGCUGUGUUGAUCUGAGCCCUGAUGGGUAGCGAAACAUAUAAGUAGCGAAGUUGCAGCACUCACACUGCCAGGAAAAGCCACUAUCGAGUUUUUAGGUGCCCGUACCGUAAACCGACACAGGUAGGCAGGGAGAGGAUCCCUAGGCGACCGGGAGAACCCUUGUUAAGGAACUCGGCAAAAUAGCCCCGUAACUUCGGGAGAAGGGGUGCCCUUUGGGGUUAGUAGCCUCGAAGGGCCGCAGUGAAUAGGCCCAAGCGACUGUUUAGCAAAAACACAGGUCUCUGCUAAGUCGAAAGACGACGUAUAGGGGCUGACGCCUGCCCGGUGCUGGAAGGUUAAGGGGAAGAGUUAGCCGCAAGGCGAAGCUUAGAACCUAAGCCCCAGUAAACGGCGGCCGUAACUAUAACGGUCCUAAGGUAGCGAAAUUCCUUGUCGGGUAAGUUCCGACCCGCACGAAAGGCGCAACGACUUGGGCACUGUCUCAACAAGGGACCCGGUGAAAUUGCAUUACCUGUGAAGAUGCAGGUUACCCGCGACUAGACGGAAAGACCCCGUGGAGCUUUACUGCAGCCUGAUAUUGGAUUUUGGUACCGGAUGUACAGGAUAGGUGGGAGACAUAGAAGCAUGGCCGCUAGGCUGUGUGGAGUCAUCCGUGGGAUACCACCCUUUCGGUGCUGAAAUUCUAACCACUAACCGUUAUCCGGUUUUGGGACAGUGUCAGGUGGGCAGUUUGACUGGGGCGGUCGCCUCCUAAAGAGUAACGGAGGCGCCCAAAGGUUCCCUCAGCGCGGUUGGAAAUCGCGCGUAUAGAGUGCAAAGGCAUAAGGGAGCUUGACUGCGAGAGCUACAACUCGAGCAGGUACGAAAGUAGGGCUUAGUGAUCCGGCGGUACCGAGUGGAAGGGCCGUCGCUCAACGGAUAAAAGCUACCCCGGGGAUAACAGGCUUAUCUCCCCCAAGAGUCCACAUCGACGGGAGGUUUGGCACCUCGAUGUCGGCUCAUCGCAUCCUGGGGCUGUAGUAGGUCCCAAGGGUUGGGCUGUUCGCCCAUUAAAGCGGUACGUGAGCUGGGUUCAGAACGUCGUGAGACAGUUCGGUCCCUAUCUGUCGCGGGCGUGGAGACUUGAGUGGAUCUGUCCCUAGUACGAGAGGACCGGGAUGGACGGACCGCUGGUGUAUCAGUUGUUCUGCCAAGAGCAUAGCUGAGUAGCCACGUCCGGACGGGAUAAGC
rnacentral:rRNA from 1 species